rnacentral:rRNA from 1 species
GUGUCAGCAGCCGCGGUAAGACGUAGGGAGCGAGCGUUGUCCGGAUUCAUUGGGCGUAAAGAGCGCGCAGGCGGUUCGGUAAGUCGGUUGUGAAAUUCCGGGGCUCAACCCCGGGACUGCGUCCGAAACUGCCGGACUAGAGGUAGGUAGGGGAGAUCGGAAUUCCUGGUGUAGCGGUGGAAUGCGCAGAUAUCAGGAGGAACACCGGUGGCGAAGGCGGAUCUCUGGGCCUUACCUGACGCUCAGGCGCGAAAGCUAGGGGAGCGAACAGGAUUAGAAACCCCCGUAGUCC